rnacentral:rRNA from 1 species
UACGUAGGGGGCAAGCGUUGUCCGGAAUCAUUGGGCGUAAAGCGCGUGUAGGCGGCCCGAUAAGUCCGCUGUGAAAGUCCAGGGCUCAACCCUGGGAUGCCGGUGGAUACUGUCGGGCUCGAGUCCGGAAGAGGAGUGUGGAAUUCCUGGUGUAGCGGUGAAAUGCGCAGAUAUCAGGAGGAACACCAAUGGCGAAGGCAGCACUCUGGGACGGUACUGACGCUGAGACGCGAAAGCGUGGGGAGCGAACAGG